GGGGGCGAGUGGGGGUGCUGCUGUGAAGACAGAUGAGGAUAAAGGCUUUUGAUGCCAGAAGAGAAAACGCCCUGAGCAGCGAAUGCUUUUAUUUCCCCAGCAGAGACAGGAGGGGGUGCUCAGAUCCCCAAGGCUGCGCACCGUUCCUAGCUUUGCCUGCUUCUGCCCCUCUUGCCUGGAAUAUACUGGAGGCACGAGUGUGGUUUUAUUUGUGUGGAGGGGGGGUAUUUGGAGGAGGCCCAACAGCCAAGCUGAGCCCACUCGGCUCCACGGACGAUCCGAGGGGGGCGAAGCCUGCCCUGGAAGGCCAAGUGUGAGUUGCAUUUUUUGAAGAAUCCAAGACAGGCAAGGCUGUGACAUUGGCCCUGGAGACUGGUUUCCCACGAACCGUUCUUUCUCAGGAGCUCCUCAGUGCGGGGCCGUCUCCAGAAAACAGUCUCCAGUGUGUAUUUCCUUUUAUCGUCCACCCGGAGCCCCACGGCAGCUAAUGCUAGAGGCCAAAAAUGUUUUGGAGGAAGAAAAACAAAGGCAGGAAGUGGCGGCAGCCUGACGGUGCGUGUGUGUCUGCGGAGACGAAGGGAGGGAGCUGUUUCAAUCUCUUCUUGUUUUUCCAAACUUGAAGGUCUAGGCUGCCCUCGAAGAGCCGGCCCUCGCUCCCCGGCGCAGCGUUUGGAGAUGGCCACCCGGAGAGGAGCAGGCUGGCGCCCGAGCCAGCCUUGUCAGGCGGAAACGGCUAACGAGGCGAUUUGCUCAGCAAAGCAGACCAAGCCAUUCUCAACUUCGUUUGAUUUGGCCCUAAAAGUGGGGGGUUGGGGGAUUCUGCAGCGUCUCCUGGACCCUCCUCUGCGGGCAGGCUGAGUGCGCCUUGGCGGAGAUUGGUGAGCCCUGCGAGCCAUGCUCCAUGCACCCUUCCAGGCAGGAUAUCAUAUCGGAAUAAAGUGUGUCCAGGUGCCUCUGCCCAGCACUGCUGCCUCCCCUUCUUCUUGCAGCCGAAGGGUCUGGGCAGCAGCCUGAGGGCGCCUGCUUGCGGUGCCCUGGCUGAAGAGCCUUGGCGUGGAUAGUGUGCGCUAGGGUGAAGUAAGCCUUUUCACCGGGGUUGUUGUGCUGGGGAGCUCUUUCCAGCAUAGUCACUCAAGGGACAUGAGCAGAACCGACUGUCACUUGAUAGGCAGCUUAAUAAUACCCACUCACUCUGAGGGAGGAUAGGGCUGGGGGCAGGGAGCGCCUCCAGACCCCAGGGGUUCCCGAGCCCAACUGGCUGUGCUGCUUGGCUGCCCUCUUCUCUCUUUGGGGCUGGCGUGGACUCUGGCAGUGGUUCAUUGUCCCAGAAUCUGAGACUCCGAAGUCCCCAGUGUCUGCACCUUCCAGCCCUUUGACGGCUCAGUGCACAACCCCUAACACGAGUGCCCACAGCGGGCCACCCGCUCACCCCCUUUCCUCCCUAGGCUUCCUUCUCCAUCUCCCUGCGGCUCUGGCUUGCCUGUCUCCCGCCCCUUUCCAGCCGAGUUUUCCCUUGUGCAGGCUCCUGCCUCUUCUGAUACCCUCCUAGGCUGAGCAAGAGCUAAGGGGCCACUGGGGGGCACCCAGUAUGAAAACACAGAGAAAGGGGUCUCCUAGGUUCCUGACUCUCCCCCAAUUCAGGCCUCCACCAGGGUCUGAACUACAUUGCUCAGCCUCACCUUCUUCUGAAUACUCCAUUCCAAGGCCCUGCCGGGUUCUUUCUCUCUCUCUCCCUCUCUCACCAAUACUUGCUCCUUCUCUUCUUGGGACUCAGGUCUUGCUUCCUUAGGCCUGGGAGGGGUUAGGGCCCACCUGACUGACCAAAAUUCACUCCCAAAGAUCUACAGUUGUUUAUCCGUGGAUUCCAUAGGGUACUAAUUUUUUUUUUUUUUUUUGCUUUUUCUUGCUGGUCUGAGCCCCUACCUUCCUCUGUCCCUAAGUGUCACACCUGUUUCUAGAAAGACCAUUUCAACCCUGGUGGUUGUCCUGUGCACAGGUGCAAGAGCCAGCCAGAGGGCUCAGGGCGGACACAGCCAUCAAGCCCUUCAUGGGGUUGGAGGCCAGGCCUCCAUUUGGGGGCUUUCUCCUUCCAAAAGGAGUCCUGUAGGUACAUCUGUCUGUUCUCCAUAAGCCUGGGGGUUGGGCUGUCUGAUAUUCUCAGGAGAUCUCCCAGUAUUUGUUCUCAGAAAAUGACCUAUUGGCAGGUCAUGAGCAACUUACCAAAUUUCCAGGCACUGUCUAGAGGUGGCCCUGGGGCUUUGAUGAAACAUCAAGAGACAUACCCCCGAUCACUACUAGGUAGAGGCAGGGGUUAAUUUUUCUCCUUGGCUUGACAAGGCACCUGUCCCACCUACAAGCUCCACUGCCCUUCUGUAAAGCAUGGGAACAGGUAAUGCCUUGAACUUGACCUUAUGAUUGGCUCUUAUCUGACUCACAGGUUCACUCUCCAAGGUUCAUAAACAUCUGAAGAAGUCCACAUCCUUCCCUUGGCCGCUUCAGGGUGGGGCAUAGGGUUAACAGAGGGUCUCAGAUACCCAAAGCAAUCUGGUUAUUAUUUAGUUUAGUGGGUCCCAAAGUGAUGGGAGAAAGAGGGUUACUUCCUUUGAGAAGAACUAUUUUUAUUUUUAUUGUUGGGGACUCAUUAAAAAUUCUUCCCCCUACUGAGUGGGAACAGAUGGGGGGGAGGGCAUUGAAGGGCAAAGUCCUGGCUCUCAGUAUCUGCCUUCCUUUCUCCUUGCAGCUUCGACCCGAGCGGGUUUCCCCAGCUAAGUGUGUCUGUGAUAAAUAGGACAAAAGAAAGUGACCCAACCAGAAGGCUAGCUCUGGUCCUCGGGGUCUUGGUCCCCACAGGAAGCUCCCAUACCCCAAGCUUCAGCUGCCACCUAGGGCCAUUCCCCAGGCUCCUUCAGGCCUACCCAGCCUGGAGCCAUGGCUCACAUUCCAGCCUCAAGAAAAGGGGACUCCUGUCCAGUCAAACCCUGUCCUGGGAGUCUCCCCCACAUGCCCUGAUAGGCAGUCCUGCGAAGGUGUCUAUCCACUGACAAGCCCUCUGGCUAUUGUCUUCUCAAGACGCUGCUCCACUCCUGCAGCCCUUGGGAUAAAGCCCAGCUUUUCUAUAUGCUGUGAAAAACAACAACAACAACAACAACAGCAAAAACCAGAUGAAAUAAUUUGUUGGGCCUCUUUGAUUCACCUGGAGCAAUAAGCUCAGGGGCAGAUGGGGUUGAAACCUGUUGACCCCUAGGCCUGAUGCGGUGACAUGCUGCAAGCAAGCUAUGGGCAGAGCGAAGGGGCGCUUACCCCUCCACAGCACAGGGAGGGGGUUCUUGGAGUCUGCGAAUCAAGAAUGGGGUUUUUUCUUUUCUUUCUUUUUUUUUUUUUAACCUUUGGCAGAUUUCACCUCACUUCUUAGGGCAUCAUUUAAGCAGGAGAAGGAACGGAAGAGCAUCAAAGUUCUCACCAAAGGCCUGCCAGGCACUGAGGGAACACAUCUGGACUCAGGGACCUCAGGAGAGGCUUCCAGCAGGUUCUCUGCUUCCCUAUCCUAUUCCCGGCCGGCUGGUCCCGCUGCCCCUACCAGGCCCCUUGUUUCUAUCAGAGCCCAGAGCUCGGAUCUAGCCGCCGCGUCCUUUCUCCCGAGCUUGCAGGCGUUACCUCUCACCCAGGCUAGGCCUCCGCGGGCUCAGCUCUUCCGGGACUCGACGGGGACAAAGCCGGGGCUACCCUCGGUUGCCGGAACUCCUUUUUAAUACGGCUAGGGGAGAAGGAAUUGAUAACCAAGAAAGAACUACUUUCAGUCUGAGAUCUCGGG
rnacentral:lncRNA from 1 species